rnacentral:rRNA from 1 species
UACGUAGGUGACCAGCGUUGUCCGGAUUUACUGGGCGUAAAGAGCGCGCAGGCGGUCGUUCAAGUCGAGUGUGAAAGCCCCCCGGCUCAACUGGGGAGGGUCACUCGAUACUGAUCGACUUGAAGGCAGGAGAGGGAAGCGGAAUUCCCGGUGUAGUGGUGAAAUGCGUAGAUAUCGGGAGGAACACCAGUGGCGAAGGCGGCUUCUGGCCUGUUCUUGACGCUGAGGCGCGAAAGCUAGGGAGCGAA